GACAAAUGAGAACAGAGUUGUGAAGCU
rnacentral:piRNA from 1 species